GUCAUGUGUCAUUAUUAUCCUUUAUUCCUUGCUCUUUUAUCAGAGUUGUUAACUAAUGGAACUUGAUUUCUCCUUCUUAUUCCUGCGCUCGCUCCCAUACAAGAGGCAGAAUGGUCAGACAGAGAGAGAAAGGCAAGGCAGUGAGGACUUCUUGUCAUUGGCCCUUCAGCAAAUCCCUCAUCAGGCACCGCCUUUGUAAGGAGCAUGUGACACGG
rnacentral:lncRNA from 1 species